CCUACGGGAGGCUGCAGUCGAGAAUCAUUCACAAUGGGGGAAACCCUGAUGGUGCGACGCCGCGUGGGGGAAUGAAGGUCUUCGGAUUGUAAACCCCUGUCAUGUGGGAGCAAAUUAAAAAGAUAGUACCACAAGAGGAAGAGACGGCUAACUCUGUGCCAGCAGCCGCGGUAAUACAGAGGUCUCAAGCGUUGUUCGGAAUCACUGGGCGUAAAGCGUGCGUAGGCUGUUUCGUAAGUCGUGUGUGAAAGGCGCGGGCUCAACCCGCGGACGGCACAUGAUACUGCGAGACUAGAGUAAGGGAGGGGGAACCGGAAUUCGCGGUGUAGCAGUGAAAUGCGUAGAUAUCGAGAGGAACACUCGUGGCGAAGGCGGGUUCCUGGACAUUAACUGACGCUGAGGCACGAAGGCCAGGGGAGCGAAAGGAAUUAGAUACCCUAGUAGUC
rnacentral:rRNA from 1 species